rnacentral:lncRNA from 1 species
CCGGGUCGUGUCUCACACGGCUGAGUCACACGCUCAUGUUUUAGGCCGUGUGGACCCAAAAUGUACCUAAAAUCAAACUGUUACAAGACCAUUUUAAUCCUUUUCACUUAAACCAUAUAGGCACACAUAAAAGGGUUUCAAACACCAAUCAAACAUAUGUAAACAUGCCAUUUCAUUCAUCUUAAAUCACCUAACCAAUGUACCACUCAUAAGCACCACAAUUUCAUCAAACAUCAUUUACUAAAUCAAG